CAAUUGGGACCAGCCUGGUUCACUGAAGUAAGAGUCCAGGAAAGAUGAGCGUUUUUAUUUACCUGAGUGAGUCUCUGGUUUAGUGUUUCUUCUUAAACACUGAGUUCACAGGGCUCUUAAAGCAGACCGGAGUCGCAGAAAAGGGCACUGGACAGAGUCAGUCCACAAGUAUCUGCUGAGGUCCUACUAUGCGUCAGACACUGUUCAGGCACAGGGUUGUGCUGAAGACGAGAGCAACAACAUCCCAAAGCUCUGUCAUGUUGGUGGAUGUGUCAUGCUGGUGGGGGAAAGACAGAGAAGAGUCAGGUAAACAUGCACGUGGGCCAGGACAACAAAGAGAAUUGUCUGCUGGCAAAGGCAGCUGUGGCAGAGUCUGCUACGAUGGCCACCCCCAGGAGCUCUCUCUGCCAUGGCCAGGGAGUACUGGGGCAGUCCCAGAAGGCAAAACCAGUGAGAGGGGCUAGGACCCCAUGGCUGCCUAGGGGACUCCUCAGGAAAAACCAAAGCUGGAGUGGCCCUGAGGAAGCUCUGGAGUGACUGAGGACCUAGUGAUUUUGGGGACAUGGGGCUUUCCAUGCUCAAGACAGGACAGUCUGGGGCAAACCCCACAUAUCAGCCACUCCAGCAGCUUUCGUCUUCCUGGGGGUAGCUGGGGCAUGCUGCUUAAGGACGGUCACUCCUAGAACAGCGUCUAGGAUGAAGAAAUACGGCUCAUGAGGACAUUUAAAACAACAAACCUGAUCUCACUGCCACCGGGGCCACAGAACCCCACAUGGGUGGAUGGGGCAGGCUGAGGCCGCUCAGUGGGGUGCUGGAAAGCUGGGAGGCAGGUCAGGGGCCUGCUCUGGGAGACUUCUUUUCUUUCUGUUUCCUCCUUUUUUCAUUCAAAUCUCCACCUUCAAGGGAGGGGGCCUUGGACAGCUGUACCCUCAUGAAAGUAAAGAGUAGCUCUUUCCGGUCUGCCACCAGGAAGCAAAGGAUUAGGGGACCCCACACAGCUUCCUUUGGGGGCUGGUGGGAACAGCCAGCACUCUUUUGGGCUGAGUCACAUGGAGGUCCCGUGCGUCCUCCCCUUUUCCUGCCUGAGCCAUGAUUUGCCCGUGGCCAAUGUGUGGCCUGUGGAAUUGGCACUGGGCAAGCCUGCGGCUGGGUCCCAAGGCUCCUGCUCUAGGCAGGCAUCUGCUCUCUUGCCUGGCUUUCCUGCUUGUUCUCUUCUCCCUGGCCUCUUCAACCUCUGAUAAAUAAGUCCCUUUCUCCUCCACUCUUUACCCCACUUUCAUUUCUUUCUCUUCCAUCUCCGUGUCCUGAGGAAUAAAGGAGGGCCUAGGCAGCUCCCUGGCCCCAUGCCUUCUCCCUGCCCAAGAAGUUCUUAAAUGUUUAAGGGAAAGAUGGUUUUUCACAAAGGAAAUGUUCACUCCUCCACUGGACUGUGAGUUCCACGAGGUCAGGGACUGUGUUUUCCCUGCCCCUUGCUGUCUCCUGGUAUUGGGCAUGUAAACAUGUGUUCAUGGAUUAUACAAAUAAAAAAGAAGACUGCUUUUAACAAGGGUGGCCUCUGAGGACAAGUGACGUAGAGAGAGAAGGAGAAGAUGUUAAAACUUUUUAUUUAUUUACAAUUUCCUUCUCUUAAAAAUGUUGACUUUGGUCAGGCCUUCUGGCCAAGUGGAAUGUAGCCUGAGGUCAUUGUCAGGGUCUUCUCAAGAGAUGGAUGUUGCAGGAGGGGCUGCUUCACCUCCAGUUCCCAUGGGAGCUCCACUUAUACAGGGAGAGAAAUCAGGGAAAUGAGAAGCAAGGAAGUGGGAGGAAGGUGCACAUUUAGAUGAAUUUUCUCUAUCACUCCAUCUAGCCAGCAUGUAAGCUUUGUCUGUCCUGGUUCAGAAAAGCUGGUUUCUCUCCAGAAUCCAGAGGAGGGAAGGAAGGAGCUAAUUUUAUUCAGCAUCUACUGUGUGUCAUGCACAUCACAUAAUUUAUAUCACUGAUUCAUAAGAAUCUAGUUUGAUUGUGAUCCUUAUUAAACAGAUGAAGUUCAAUAAUUCACCUAAAGUCAUGCCCACGAGAGGGAAACCCGGGAUUUAAACUGACCUUCCUACGCUUAAGCCUGUCACCCUCCUUCCAUUAUGUUAUGCUACCUGUGGUUACAAAUAUAAAGAAAAAAUCAGUUGCCAGAGUAGAAGAGGGUAAGGGGGAAGCAUCCUCUAAAAGUUGGAUGAGCCUCACAGGCAUAUGAACAAUGCUGGACGUAAGUGGGUACUUACUGUAGGAUCCUAUUUAUAUGAUGCUCAAGAACAGGCAAAACUAACCUAGGAUGCUGGAAAUGAGAACAGUGUUUGUCUCUGUGGGUGGGGAUUGAUUGAAAAAGGACAGGAGAGAGCUUCACUGGGAUAAUGGAAUUCUUCUAUAUUUUAUUUGGGUGAUGGCAGGAAUAGUGUUUGUAGGAAC
rnacentral:lncRNA from 1 species